ensembl:lncRNA
CCACUUUAUAAUGGAAUCUUAUUAUCUAGGGAUAGAUAAACCACCAAUUCUAACUGACUUGAAUGUAAGAACUGUUUUGAUAGCACUAGUGUUAAUAUAGCUACCUGUUUUUUUUUUGCCCAGAUCUACAUGAAGCUCUUCAAGAAGUCCACACCAUAUGCAGGAUACCCAAGACAAGAACAUUCCCCUUUGUCCUUCUGGUUGUUUAAGGAAUUACUGGAUGAGAUUUCCUGGGGAACUGUCCUCAGGAACAAAGGAGUAAAGCAGAGCUGGCAGUUCUUUAAGGACACCUUUGUGAAAG